rnacentral:rRNA from 1 species
AUACGAAGGGGGCUAGCGUUGUUCGGAAUUACUGGGCGUAAAGCGCGCGUAGGCGGAUUGGUCAGUUAGGGGUGAAAUCCCAGGGCUUAACCCUGGAACUGCCUCUAAUACUGCCAGUCUUGAGUUCGGGAGAGGUGAGUGGAAUUCCUAGUGUAGAGGUGAAAUUCGUAGAUAUUAGGAAGAACACCAGUGGCGAAGGCGGCUCACUGGCCCGAUACUGACGCUGAGGCGCGAAGGCGUGGGGAGCAAACAGGAUUAGAAACCCUAGUAGUCC